UACGUAGGGUGCGAGCGUUAAUCGGAAUUACUGGGCGUAAAGCGUGCGCAGGCGGAUUGUUAAGCAAGAUGUGAAAUCCCCGGGCUUAACCUGGGAAUGGCAUUUUGAACUGGCAGUCUAGAGUGUGUCAGAGGGGGGUGGAAUUCCACGUGUAGCAGUGAAAUGCGUAGAGAUCGGGAGGAACAUCAGUUGCGAAGGCGGCUCUCUGGACCAGUACUGACGCUGAGGCACGAAAGCGUGGGGAGCAAACAGG
rnacentral:rRNA from 1 species